rnacentral:rRNA from 1 species
UAAUACCCUAUAGGUUACAGAUGCUGGAAUGCUCUGUAAUCAAAAGUUCCGGCGCCCUAGGAUGGAUCUGCGGCCGAUUAGGUUGUUUUUGGGUUAAUGGCCCAACAAAGCCAGUAAUCGGUACGGUUUGUGGGAGCAAGAGCCCGGAGUUGGAUUCUGAGACACGAAUCCAGGCCCUACGGGGCGCAGCAGGCGCGAAAACUUUACAAUGCGGGCAACCGUGAUAAGGGAACCUCGAGUGCCUGUAAAUGCAGGCUGUUCAGAUGCCUAAGACACAUCUGGAGAAAGGGCCGGGCAAGACCGGUGCCAGCCGCCGCGGUAAUACCGGCGGCUCGAGUGGUGGCCACUUUUAUUGGGCUUAAAGCGUUCGUAGCUGGGUUGUUAAGUCUCUUGGGAAAUCUGGCGGCUUAACCGUCAGGCGUCUAAGGGAUACUGGCAAUCUUGGAACCGGGAGAGGUGAGGGGUACUUCGGGGGUAGGAGUGAAAUCCUGUAAUCCUCGAGGGACCACCUGUGGCGAAGGCGCCUCACCAGAACGGCUUCGACAGUGAGGGACGAAAGCUGGGGGAGCAAACCGGAUUAGAUACCCGGGUAGUCCCAGCCGUAAACUAUGCGCGUUAGGUGUAU